CUCUUCUCUCCCGGGGAGCGCGCGUCCUCCCCGGGCCGGGCGCCCGAGGGCCCCACGCGCCAAGGACGUAGGCUGUAUUUUGAGAGUUAGUUGCGAGCAACUCUUCGCCCUUAAGUAUUGCCGACAUGUGACCCACGCAAGUGACAAUUUCUUGCCUAAUAUCUCACUGUCACAGUGAAAUACUGUGACUAAGUCACAACUCAUAGAGAAAACUGAACGGUGCAUUGUAAAAUAGGACACAAAACAAAAGACUUCAUCUGAGAGCUGAGAUCAUCGCAGCCAGAGUACACAGACCCACUGCAGUAAUUCAACAGUGUUUCUCAGAGCCCAAGACAGUUUCUGCAAUUCUUGACUGGGGCUGUGACUGAGAUGUCAGAUCGGGGGAGAGGAUCAUAAAUUUCUGUUAUAUCUGGAUCCAGAUCAACAGGAGGAUCUAUGAGAAUUUGUUUUAAGGACUUAACAUUCUUUAAGUACAUGUGUAUGGGAACAUAUGAUGAGAGAGAUGGAAGAGAAGUGAGAGAUAAGCAGAUGAAUACAGUGAAGAGAAAGAGUUAAACUUGAUUUUGUAGUGAUGUGGAUCAUAGUGGCAGUUGGAGAAAAUACAGCAAGUUGGCCACGAGACCAAGUCUUAUCUGAAGACCACUGCCGUUGGUAGCUGUAAGUUAUGAUCAUGAUCAAAAAGUACAGCUAGAUAGGAAAUACAAACAACUGAGACAAAAACUAUGAUCGAUAGGCUCCACCAUUUCCAAGUGUGUAGCCUGAAGUCCCUGCCUUCAGGUGACCAUAGGGAUCACAGGUAGAGAAAUUUGUGGUGUGAUUGGCUAAAGAUAAAUGUGUGUGUGUGUGUGUGUGUGUGUGUGUGUGUGUAUGUUUGUGUAUUUAUAUAGUCUUAACAUUAUUAUAGUUAUUGGCUUCCAUAGAUUUGUUUAGUUAAUUCCUUUUAAAAUUGUAAUGAAGACUUUUGUGGAGGUUGAAUGAUGAAAGCAUCUGGAAAAAUGUUGUGGCCUUAAUUCAAGCCAGAUUGGAUCAAUAAUUCUAAAGACAAAACUAUAGCUGUUACCAAGCCUGAAACCUUGAGGGAAACAGAAUUUUGCAGCUUUAGGCCACUGGGAAUAAGAAAACAUUGUUUUACAGUGUGUUUAUGGUUUGAAAUUUUGACAGCUGCUCCAGUAUAAGUCUCAACUCUUCUGCCAGCUGACAGACACAUCCUGCUAGAGAUGAAGCAGUGGCUUCAUAUAGUUUUUUGACUUCUUUAGCCCAUCUCGCCAUCUCGCCAAAUCAAAAUCUAGCAAGGUGACUUUUGUCUUUUCUACCUCAUUAUCCUAAAUUGUGAAGAAAAUUUUAAGAUUGUAAAUUCCAGAUGUGAACAUUUCAGAGAUCAAAUUUCUAUAACUCACAGUCAUGCCGCAAGACAAUAAUACAUGAG
rnacentral:lncRNA from 1 species